rnacentral:rRNA from 1 species
CAGGACUUGACAUCCUUCUGACAGGCCCUUAACCGGGCCCUCCUUCGGGCAGAAGAGACAGGUGGUGCAUGGUUGUCGUCAGCUCGUGUCGUGAGAUGUUGGGUUAAGUCCCGCAACGAGCGCAACCCUUGUCAUUAGUUGCCAUCAUUAAGUUGGGCACUCUAGUGAGACUGCCGGGGACAACUCGGAGGAAGGUGGGGAUGACGUCAAAUCAUCAUGCCCCUUAUGUCCUGGGCUACACACGUGCUACAAUGGCCGGUACAAAGAGACGCAAGACCGCGAGGUGGAGCAAAUCUUCAAAACCGGUCCCAGUUCGGAUUGCAGGCUGCAACUCGCCUGCAUGAAGUCGGAGUUGCUAGUAAUCGUGAAUCAGAAUGUCACGGUGAAUGCGUUCCC